UGAGGGGACCUCCAGCAGCCAUCUUUACUUAUCGGACCCCUGCGAUUGCAUUGCGUGUGGUCCGAUGAGUGUCACUAAGCCCUGCAACCACUUUAGAUACUGUGAUCAGCCAAAGGCUGUCCAGGUCUUGCUCCACAUUUGUCUUCUCCCUAGAAGACCAGCAAACCAUACAGGAAUAUCUGAAGACAUCAGAGACAGCGGGCAUGCUAAUCCAGCCCCCUAAACCGGAGUCCCACUUCAGAAAAUGACUGGUCCCCCAGGGUGGAGAUCUAUACUGGAAGAGGACCCCUUUGGCUCAAAAAGUCUAGAGUUACACGACGGUCUUAACCACGUCAAGGCUCGCAUGACCAAAUUUCGUUUCACUCUGCAGUGAUCGUACUAGGACCUACAGGUGGCCACGACUGCGACCCGACAUAUUCAUCAGAGAUAGGUCGGCAUCCCAUUUUAAAAGGUUGCCAAUGUAUAAUGUAAUGUGAACAAAACUUAACACACAUCUAGCCAAAAAAGAAAUAAAUUAAAUGAAUGAAUUAAAUAAAUAAAAUAAUGGUGCU